rnacentral:tRNA from 2 species
GCGCCCGUAGCUCAAUGGAUAGAGCAACCGGUUUCUACCCGGUUGGUUAGGGGUUCGAGUCCUCUCGGGCGCGCAA